rnacentral:rRNA from 1 species
GACGAACGCUGGCGGCGUGCUUAACACAUGCAAGUCGAACGGAGAGGCCCUGCUUUUGUGGGGUGCUCGAGUGGCGAAAGGGUGAGUAACACGUGAGUAACCUGCCCUUGACUUUGGGAUAACUUCAGGAAACUGGGGCUAAUACAGGAUAGGAGAUCCUGCUGCAUGGUGGGGGUGGGAAAGUUUCGGCGGUUGGGGAUGGACUCGCGGCUGAUCAGCUUGUUGGUGGGGUAGUGGCUUACCAAGGCAUUGACGGGUAGCCGGCCUGUGAGGGUGGCCGGCCACAUUGGGACUGAGAUACGGCCCAGACUCCAACGGGAGGCAGGAGUGGGGAAUAUUGCACAAUGGGCGGGAGCCUGAUGCAGCAACGCCGCGUGCGGGAUGACGGCCUGCGGGUUGUAAACCGCUGUCGCCUGUGACGAAGCGUGAGUGACGGUAAUGGGUAAAGAAGCACCGGCUAACUACGUG